UACGUAGGGUGCGAGCGUUGUCCGGAUUCAUUGGGCGUAAAGAGCUCGUAGGCGGCUUGAUAAGUCGGAUGUGAAACCUCCAGGCUCAACCUGGAGUCGCCAUCCGAUACUGUCAUGGCUAGAGUCCGGUAGGGGCCCACGGAAUUCCUGGUGUAGCGGUGAAAUGCGCAGAUAUCAGGAGGAACACCGGUGGCGAAGGCGGGUCUCUGGGCCGUAACUGACGCUGAGGAGCGAAAGCGUGGGGAGCGAACAGG
rnacentral:rRNA from 1 species